AUUUACUCUCUAAUAAAAAGAUAUUCACACAAAAUAUAGUAUACACCUCAAUUAUAUAAUAAUCUAUUAUGGUGCCAAUGAAAUAAAGAUUUAUCCACUCCUAACUCAUAAUACGACCCCAAACUAUACCAAUUUCAUAAAAGUAUUUAAUAAACAAAAAUAAUUAUCACAAUACACCCCAAACUAUGCCAACAAUAUUGGAAUCUCUUGAAAUGACAUUAGCUACCCAUUUUUAUCAUGCUUCCUUCAUUCUUCAUUAAAAUUUCAUAAAACUAUUUGACAAACAAAAAUAAAUCUCACAAUACACCCCAAACUAUGCCAACAAUAAUGGAAUCUCUUGAAAUGAC